CCUACGGGAGGCAGCAGUGGGGAAUAUUGGGCAAUGGGCGCAAGCCUGACCCAGCAACGCCGCGUGAAGGAAGAAGGCUCUCGGGUUGUAAACUUCUUUUAUCAGGGACGAAGCAAGUGACGGUACCUGAUGAAUAAGCGACGGCUAACUACGUGCAAGCAGCCGCGGUAAUACGUAGGUGGCAAGCGUUAUCCGGAUUUACUGGGUGUAAGGGGCGCGUAGGCGGGAAAGCAAGGCAGAUGUGAAAACCAUGGGCUCAACCUGUGGCGUGCAUUUGAAACUGUUUUCCUUGAGUACUUGGGGGUCAGACGGAAUUCCUAGUGUAGCGGUGAAAUGCGUAGAUAUUAGGAGGAACACCAGUGGCGAAGGCGGUCUGC
rnacentral:rRNA from 1 species